CCGCUUAGAAUAAAACGGACGGAGCCGUCUGAGGCUCGUCGGAAUCAGUCGAAUCGACGCGUGAAAGCGAGUCCGACGCGAAUACGGAACGAAAGUCCGGUCGGCUCGUAGAAUAGAGUAGCGCUCGUUUGACGCAUUUCCGAUGGGUAAGCGCCGUGACCGAUGCGAGGCUAGCGAAGCCGUCGGAUUGAGGUCGAGCUCGUUCGCGAGUCUCGUAACCAGUCCGUCGGUCGAAAUAGAAAUCGUUAGACCGCUUAGCAUCGAGCGAAAAUUUCGAACGUCGGCGAUUUAUUAGUGCUCGUCGAAUACGACGGACGUGCGUUCGAUCGGUCGUAACCUGCUCGCAGGUUUCGGUUAGUAUCCUGAGCGUAUCCGAAGUCGUCGACGACGCUUUCGACGUUCGGGCGUCUACGGCGUCCGAGUCGGUCACCCGUCCGACCCGUCUUGAAACACGGACCAAGGAGUCUAACGUACGCGCGAGCUAAUGGGCGGAAAACCCAUAAGCGCAAUAAAAGUAAAGGUCGUCUCGGACGGCUUAGGUACGAUCCCGAAGGACGAAUAAUCCUCGGGCGCAGUACCGUCCCGUCCCGACCGCUCGUCGGUAGGGC
rnacentral:rRNA from 1 species